GCGAGACGGUGACGUUAAGCAAAUCCCAGAAAUAACGUCCCAGUUCGGAUUGUAGUCUGCAACCCGACUACAUGAAGCUGGAAUCGCUAGUAAUCGCGAAUCAGAAUGUCGCGGUGAAUACGUUCCCGGGUCUUGUACACACCGCCCGUCACACCAUGGGAGCCGGAAAUGCCCGAAGUCAGUGACCCAACCGUAAGGAGGGAGCUGCCGAAGGUGGAGCCGGUAACUGGGGUGAAGUCGUAACAAGGUACC
rnacentral:rRNA from 1 species